rnacentral:rRNA from 1 species
UAUUUUAAAUUGUAAAUUUAUAUACCUAAAUAUUAUGAGCAUUUGUUUAAAAUUUAAAGAACUUGGCGGUAUCAUAGACUUCUUAGGGGAACCUGUUUUUUAAUCGAUAAUCCUCGUUUUACCUUACCUUUUUUUGUUUUCAGUUUGUAUACCGUCGUCGUCAGUUAACGUUUAAAAUUAUAAUAGUUGUCUGUAUAAAUUUUGUUUUAGAUGUCAGAUCAAGGUGCAGCUUAUAAAUUGGUUAAAAUGGGUUACAAUUAUUUAUUUAUAAUAUGAAUAAUUUUUUGAAACUAUUAUUUAAAGGAGGACUUAAAAGUAAUUUAAUUUAGAUAAAUUAAAUGAAUAAAGCUCUUUGAUGUGUACA